UUUUUUUUUUGAUUUGAUCUUUGUACUGUUUCUGUGAAUUGUUAGUUAUAGUAACUUUUUCUGCUGUGUAACUGCAACUUGAACUUGAACUUGUUCAUUUUUUUUAGUUAGUUUCUUUUUUGAUUUUUGAGAAUAGUUUCUAAUUCGGUUUGUUAGGAUAUUUUUCUAGGUUGACUCCAGAUUUGGCGCGUUAAUUAUUCAGUUUUUAUGUAUUUUUUUGGAGUGACACCUCUUGUUGAGUAUUGAUUUUUCAGUUUUAUUUUUGUGUUUUUGUUGGUGUAUUAUGUUGAACAAAUUAUUGUGGUUAGUUGUUGUAUUGGAAAUUCUCUACUCACUAGAGUUGUCAAGCAUCAGAAAGUGAUCAGAAUUUUUUCCUUUUUUGUUUCUAAUCUGGUUUUGAAUCUCAAUAAUUUUUUAUUUAUUUUUAUCUGAGGUAGGUGUGUGUGUUUUUACAUAUAUAUGUUAGUUGGAUAAUGUUAUGGUUAUAAAAGGGUAUCCUUUUUAAUUGAGUCGUAUAUAUAAUUUCAAAGCUUUUUUACCUUUAAUAGGCUUCUUUGCUUCUUGGUAAAUUCAUUAUUAGUCUGGUAUUUUCCUUUUAUACAAGUUUUUUUGUUGUCUUGGAUGUAUUCUAUAUUUGAGUAAUUUGUCCUAAUUAGAACUCCCUCCGGAACGAAAUAUAAGCAAAAAAUUUUUGCUUAUAUUUCAUUCCAGAGUAGUAUUUGAUAAGAAAUGUAAAUAUAUUUGAAAAUUAGGUCUGGGGUUUUGUUUAUAUACAUGCUCUUUGUUUUCUGGAUGUUUGAGUAAUUUUCCCAACUACUAUUUGGAUAAACUCAAUCUUUAUUAUUAUGGUUUAUUACAUGCCAACAUAUUCUGUAUAUUGUAUAUUAUGAGUAUUACUCACACACCAUAAAAAUUUAAGAAUCUUUCACUUGUUCAACUUGUAUUAUAUUGACUAAGAGUUUAUAAAGUAUGGACAACCAUAACCUUACAUGCUGGUUUUGUGGGAUAAAGUUAGGCCUCACCUAAAUUUAAAGUUUUGUUUAAGACUUGUUUAUACUUAUCCACUAACUUGUAAUCUCUCACCUCUCUUUUCUUAAUGAUAUCAUCAUCUUUUAUUACCCUAAAGAAUAAAAGACCUGGAUUUUCAGUUCCAUGUUCUUAGAUGUACAUUUCUCAGUGUUGAUAUUAAAUUAUUGCUUGCUACUUGUACAUUUCUUUUCCUUUUAAAAUAUCUGCAUUAAAUAUUUUUAGUCCACUGAUUAUAAUUCGUAGUUUGGUAUUUCUGUUCUCCUUUUGUGCAAUAGCCUCUGCUGCUUUGACGGUCAAGAGGGACUUUGGUUCCCUGCAGAUGUGCCGUAAGCCGGAUUGCUGUACCUAUUGUAAGCACAAAACAAAUGCCAUCCCUAAAAAUGAAGAGCAAAGUAAGUGGAAGCUGUUUGACGGAGAGAAAGGAUCUUCAAAUCUGUCCGAAAUCAAAAGUAAUUUCCAAAAACCCAUGUUCUAAAAUCAUGAUUACUGCUAAAGAUGCAGAGAUGGACGCAACUAUUCAAAAUUGCAUAGAUGGUAAGCGGCUACUUGAGAUGGCUUAAAUUCAAUAUUCCUUUGAUGUUUCUGUUGAUGUAUCGAUGUAAUUUUUUUUCCUUACUAGUGUCUUUAAGAAUGAUUCGUGUUUUAGCUUCAUUUGUUAUUUUCAGUUCUUUUUGCAGCUUUUCAACAUUUAAUAUAUAACAUGCUGCGGAUUUUGAGCUUUUAUUGCUGAUUUUAAGCAAGCCAUAGAAUCUAAAUUGGUGAUUUGCCUAGCUGAUAUUUUGUCUUAAUUUGUUUCUUAAUAUUUUUUUGAUAAGAAAUGGAACUAAAUUACGAAAUCAACCGAGGAAAACUAGUCCCUCGUACAUCAUCUUCUAGCAGAAGUUUCAGAGUAGGAGGAAAAACAUAAAAAAAUACAAUUAAUUAUAAGGAAGAGCGCCUGAGAUUUGCUAACAGGCCAGCACACCGGUUAGCCUCGCGAUACACAUGAAAGACUGAAGUGCUCCAUCCAUGGCGGUGGAGAAUUGAGAUCACCUCUUGGAGAUUUAUCUAUGAUAUACAUGGCUUUUGACAUUCUACUAGAAAAAAAUUAGAACAGGUGUCCAUUAUUACCAUAGAUGUGCCUAAGUUAUGUUCUAGGAGUGUCAAAGGUGUGUUGAAGCCAAGAAAUUGGUUUUUUGGGAUACUCGUCUGAAUUGUCAGAUGAGUGUUGGACACAGAGACACGUCUAAUUUUAGGAGUGUCCGUGCUUUAUAGGUGGGUCAUAAAUUUGUUUGUCUGUCACAAUCAAAAACAUGGAAGGUAAGGUAUAGCUGCUAGUUAUCGGAAUCUCCGGAUUUGAGUUUCCAAAACUGUAGUUGUGCUGGUAUAUAAUUAAAAUACAUCUAUUAGAUCUUUAUUUGGGCUUUAUCUGAAAAUUCUUUUAAUUGUUCAAAUACAGAGUAGAGAAAAUUGUUUUUAUGAUCUUCCUGUAGAAAAAAAAAGCUAUUACUUAAAUCUUUUGGUUGAGUAGAAUGGCCAUGUAUGAUAAGAAGUAGGCCUAUAGAACUGUGUAUCCAUUUUUGGUAGUUUAUUUUCUUUCUUGAUAUAAUUUAUUUUUAUUCUGUGAUAGUAGGUAAUAUCACUUUCCAGUCACAUACAAUCUUGCUUAAUUUAUGACUGUUUAAAUUGAAAUUAUUUUGAUUCCAUGCAUUUGAUAGUUCUUGCUAUUUCUCUAUAGUUUCUUCAAGGACGCUGCCCAACGAUAUUGCAAGUGAUCAAUGUAAUGAUGGCAAAGAAUUUCUGAAUAAUGAAAACUCUGAAUCCCAGCACCAAUUUUCUGUAUGUUCCUCUGUCCUGGGAAGAAUGGUAGAGUUUGGUUAUAUUUGAUUUAAUAAUAUUUAUUUAUUGGAAAUUUACUCUUUUUUUUUUGGUAUCCUACUAAUACCUUGGUAUUAGUCACUGCAAUGAUCAAGACAACUAUUGUUAGUCACAAAUAGCGGAGUCUUGUACUCUUGUUUAAUAUGACCCUUCACAAAUAUUAUUCUGUAAUUAAUGCAUUCACAAUUUGCUAGGCCAUGUCUCUCUUAAAUGGCCUUAUUACAGUCCUACCUUAGGACACAUAUACAAGCAAAACAUAAGCCACACCAAUGUAUGACAUAAAAACAUAUGCAAAUUAAUUCAACCUUAUUAAUUUUCUGGAAAACUUAAAAAUGCAAUGGGAUUGAAGAUAUGAUUUCCCCUCAAUUUAUAAUUUUUCCUCAACUUAAAAACUUAAAUCUGAAGGCUAUUUUCUUUAGGAGAUACCAAAUAUCAGGAUUUUAGAACCCGGUCUAUUGUACAUGGUUAUCUGCUUUUUGAAGGUUGCCAAAUCCCAUAGUCAACUAAUUUUGGGCAUACACUUAUAAACGUAUCCAUUAAUGAGUUUUAUAUCUUCUCCUAGAUAAAAGAAAAUUUUCCAUUUUCCAAUUAGAUAGAUGCAUGUAAAUACUUCAAGUAUAAGUUAACUUUUCUGUUGAAACGUUAUUAUAUGCUCUAUACCUGUAUCCAUGACAUUUAAAGUUUGAAGUCUUCUGUGAUGCACAAUUGACACAACUCAUUUUCUUUUUUGUAGGAACUGACCAAUCCCUGUACAGAAAACUUAGAAACAAUAUUUUCUCCUGCUUUUGAGCCCAUUGAAGUCCAUUCACAACAUUAUACUGAAAAAGGUACAGCUAUGAAGAUUCUGUUAUUUGUGUUGUGUGUGUGUUUCAACUUUGCUGCUGGCACUAUGAUAGAACAUGAUUGAAAAUUUUUCAUUUUAUUAAUUUGAAAACAAGAUUUAUUGUGCAACUCUAUUGUUUCUUAGCAAGUUUUGUGAGUUGACAUAUAACCUGAACUUGUGCUAUAUGAUUUUCUUUCCUAUAUGAUGAUUGCGUUGGGAAUUAAAAGAGACUGCCUUAUUAUUCUUCAAAGUUUUUAUUAUUUAAGAUGGCAGGUUAAUAAAAAUAGUUUUUCACAAUCCAAUUUCAUUCUUGUAAAUUCUUUAACAGUUGGGAUCUAUUAAAAUAAAGAGAAGUUUUAACAACUGUUGAAGUUGUGGGAUUUUAGAUAAAAGGAGGAGAGAAAAUAAUAAGGGUUAUUAUUGAUAAUAGCUUUAUGCUAACUUGAUUACAAAAGACUCAAUAUUAAUCUCUAUUUAUAGAGAUAUAUAGACUCAAUCCUAAAUCAGGAACAAAUUGCGGAAUUUUCUUAUUUUAUUUUCUGUUGUCUUUACAAUAAUACAAAGCAGAAUUUAUACAGAUUAGGAGAUUAAGGCUGGGCGCUGAUCUAGCCUAGGAAUUAGGGAAGUUAUUCUCCUCAUAAUUGCUAAUUAAUAAGAUAGGAAAGGCUAUGAAUUAGCUAAUACUAAUCUAUAUUUAAUGGACAUAAAGCUGUCAUAAAACUGUACAAAACAGAAUCUAUUGAUUCUCCUUAAUUAGCGCCAAUCUUCAACACUCCCCCUCAAUCUGGGUGGUAGAUAUCUAUCAUACCCAGAUUGGACCUGAUAGUUUCGUAUGUGUGCCUUGAAAGUGCCUUUUGUUAGAAUGUCUGUUGCUUGUCUGUUUGAUGAGAUGUGGUUAACACUUAUGAUCUCAUGAUCAAUUUUCUCCUUAAUGAAGUGUUUGUCUAUUUCCACAUGCUUUGUUCUAUCAUGGUGAACCGGGUUUUUUGCAAUACUUAUAGCUGCCUUGUUGUCACAAAGUAUUCUCAUAGUGUAGUUAGUAGGAAUUUUGAUCUCAUCCAACAUUCGUUUGACUCUUUGGAAAUCGAGUAGUCAUUGACAUUUGAUCUCUCUUAAUAAAUAAUAUUAUGAGUUAUUCUUCUGUUUAAAAGAAAAUCUUAGGAGGAUUUGAUCUCAUGUAUUUUGGUCUUUAAAAAUAGAUAUUUAACAUACCUCUCAAUAGAUUUCAAAUUUCAAUAUCAAAUAGACAAAAAAUAUUCAUUUUCAAAGUUGGAUUAUGAUUCUAGUGUAACACAAGAAUAUUCAUGUUCCAAGAAAAAAAAAACCAUAAAAAAUUCAUACAGAAAUUAUCAUUCAAAAUCUCAAUUCACACUAGUGACGCAAUUAGACCUUUUAAAAAGAGUAUUCAAUAUGGGAGAACUUUAGUUUUGUUUUGAACAAACCAUGGGAUGUUCCACGUACAAAGCAUGCAAUUAAAAAUAAUUGAGAUGAAAUACUCCACUUGUAAACAUCAUGCUAGUGGAAGAAUUCUAAAUUCAUUCAUGAAAAUAAAAAUUAGUCUAUCGAUUAAACAUGCUUUUCAUUUUCCAAAAUGUUAAGUGUUGCACAACAAAGUGGACCUCCUCGAACUUCACUAACGGCCACAAAAAGAACAAAAAAGAAACUAAAGCUUCGAAGGACCAAACAAUGCACACCAACAAGUUGAAUGGAGUGCGAGUGUGAUUUCCACGCACUGUAUGUUGCGCGUAUGACAGCGCCCCCACCCUGGUGGAGCAAAAAUACCUCUCUUUCCGCGAAACAGCACGUGUCGACGCGUCUUACUGAGCUGGUUUCACGCGCCACGUGGCACUUUAUCAACGGUCGAAGAAAUAGAUCUCAUCCCAGCCGUCAGAAGCACCAUCCAACAGCGCAUACUUACGGACAGAGAGAACCUUCUCUCUCACUUUUCUCUCUGACCCGCGGAACGAAAUUCAAUGAAACUUUAGAGUGAGAAACUAGAGAGAGAAAGGGGUUGGUUCAGUUGCUGCUUACACAGGUAACCUCCUCUCGAAUUUCACUGUGUUUGAGUUGCUUCGUAACAUUGUUCAUCAAAACUACAGCUUCUUUUUUUUUUUUUUUUGAUUUGAUCUUUGUACUGUUUCUGUGAAUUGUUAGUUAUAGUAACUUUUUCUGCUGUGUAACUGCAACUUGAACUUGAACUUGUUCAUUUUUUUUAGUUAGUUUCUUUUUUGAUUUUUGAGAAUAGUUUCUAAUUCGGUUUGUUAGGAUAUUUUUCUAGGUUGACUCCAGAUUUGGCGCGUUAAUUAUUCAGUUUUUAUGUAUUUUUUUGGAGUGACACCUCUUGUUGAGUAUUGAUUUUUCAGUUUUAUUUUUGUGUUUUUGUUGGUGUAUUAUGUUGAACAAAUUAUUGUGGUUAGUUGUUGUAUUGGAAAUUCUCUACUCACUAGAGUUGUCAAGCAUCAGAAAGUGAUCAGAAUUUUUUCCUUUUUUGUUUCUAAUCUGGUUUUGAAUCUCAAUAAUUUUUUAUUUAUUUUUAUCUGAGGUAGGUGUGUGUGUUUUUACAUAUAUAUGUUAGUUGGAUAAUGUUAUGGUUAUAAAAGGGUAUCCUUUUUAAUUGAGUCGUAUAUAUAAUUUCAAAGCUUUUUUACCUUUAAUAGGCUUCUUUGCUUCUUGGUAAAUUCAUUAUUAGUCUGGUAUUUUCCUUUUAUACAAGUUUUUUUGUUGUCUUGGAUGUAUUCUAUAUUUGAGUAAUUUGUCCUAAUUAGAACUCCCUCCGGAACGAAAUAUAAGCAAAAAAUUUUUGCUUAUAUUUCAUUCCAGAGUAGUAUUUGAUAAGAAAUGUAAAUAUAUUUGAAAAUUAGGUCUGGGGUUUUGUUUAUAUACAUGCUCUUUGUUUUCUGGAUGUUUGAGUAAUUUUCCCAACUACUAUUUGGAUAAACUCAAUCUUUAUUAUUAUGGUUUAUUACAUGCCAACAUAUUCUGUAUAUUGUAUAUUAUGAGUAUUACUCACACACCAUAAAAAUUUAAGAAUCUUUCACUUGUUCAACUUGUAUUAUAUUGACUAAGAGUUUAUAAAGUAUGGACAACCAUAACCUUACAUGCUGGUUUUGUGGGAUAAAGUUAGGCCUCACCUAAAUUUAAAGUUUUGUUUAAGACUUGUUUAUACUUAUCCACUAACUUGUAAUCUCUCACCUCUCUUUUCUUAAUGAUAUCAUCAUCUUUUAUUACCCUAAAGAAUAAAAGACCUGGAUUUUCAGUUCCAUGUUCUUAGAUGUACAUUUCUCAGUGUUGAUAUUAAAUUAUUGCUUGCUACUUGUACAUUUCUUUUCCUUUUAAAAUAUCUGCAUUAAAUAUUUUUAGUCCACUGAUUAUAAUUCGUAGUUUGGUAUUUCUGUUCUCCUUUUGUGCAAUAGCCUCUGCUGCUUUGACGGUCAAGAGGGACUUUGGUUCCCUGCAGAUGUGCCGUAAGCCGGAUUGCUGUAC
rnacentral:lncRNA from 1 species